rnacentral:rRNA from 1 species
AUUGAACGCUGGCGGAAUGUUUUACACAUGCAAGUCGAACGGUAGAGGGGGCAACCCCUCGAGAGCGGCGAACGGGUGAGUAAUAUAUCGGAACGUGCCCAGUCGUGGGGGAUAACGUAGCGAAAGUUACGCUAAUACCGCAUACGAUCUAAGGAUGAAAGCGGGGGAUCGCAAGACCUCGCGCGCUUGGAGCGGCCGAUAUCAGAUUAGGUAGUUGGUGGGGUAAAGGCUCACCAAGCCAACGAUCUGUAGCCGGUCUGAGAGGACGACCAGCCACACUGGAACUGAGACACGGUCCAGACUCCUACGGGAGGCAGCAGUGGGGAAUUUUGGACAAUGGACGCAAGUCUGAUCCAGCCAUUCCGCGUGCAGGAUGAAGGCCCUCGGGUUGUAAACUGCUUUUGUACGGAACGAAAAGGUCUCUCUUAAUACGGGGGACUCAUGACGGUACCGUAAGAAUAAGCACCGGCUAACUACGUGCCAGCCGCCGCCGUAACAC